CUGGCUCAGAUUGAACGCUGGCGGCAGGCCUAACACAUGCAAGUCGAGCGGUAGAGAGAAGCUUGCUUCUCUUGAGAGCGGCGGACGGGUGAGUAAUGCCUAGGAAUCUGCCUGGUAGUGGGGGAUAACGUUCGGAAACGGACGCUAAUACCGCAUACGUCCUACGGGAGAAAGCAGGGGACCUUCGGGCCUUGCGCUAUCAGAUGAGCCUAGGUCGGAUUAGCUAGUUGGUGAGGUAAUGGCUCACCAAGGCGACGAUCCGUAACUGGUCUGAGAGGAUGAUCAGUCACACUGGAACUGAGACACGGUCCAGACUCCUACGGGAGGCAGCAGUGGGGAAUAUUGGACAAUGGGCGAAAGCCUGAUCCAGCCAUGCCGCGUGUGUGAAGAAGGUCUUCGGAUUGUAAAGCACUUUAAGUUGGGAGGAAGGGCAGUAAAUUAAUACUUUGCUGUUUUGACGUUACCGACAGAAUAAGCACCGGCUAACUCUGUGCCAGCAGCCGCGGUAAUACAGAGGGUGCAAGCGUUAAUCGGAAUUACUGGGCGUAAAGCGCGCGUAGGUGGUUUGUUAAGUUGGAUGUGAAAUCCCCGGGCUCAACCUGGGAACUGCAUUCAAAACUGACUGACUAGAGUAUGGUAGAGGGUGGUGGAAUUUCCUGUGUAGCGGUGAAAUGCGUAGAUAUAGGAAGGAACACCAGUGGCGAAGGCGACCACCUGGACUAAUACUGACACUGAGGUGCGAAAGCGUGGGGAGCAGACAGGAUUAGAUACCCUGGUAGUCCACGCCGUAAACGAUGUCAACUAGCCGUUGGAAGCCUUGAGCUUUUAGUGGCGCAGCUAACGCAUUAAGUUGACCGCCUGGGGAGUACGGCCGCAAGGUUAAAACUCAAAUGAAUUGACGGGGACCCGCACAAGCGGUGGAGCAUGUGGUUUAAUUCGAAGCAACGCGAAGAACCUUACCAGGCCUUGACAUCCAAUGAACUUUCUAGAGAUAGAUUGGUGCCUUCGGGAACAUUGAGACAGGUGCUGCAUGGCUGUCGUCAGCUCGUGUCGUGAGAUGUUGGGUUAAGUCCCGUAACGAGCGCAACCCUUGUCCUUAGUUACCAGCACGUAAUGGUGGGCACUCUAAGGAGACUGCCGGUGACAAACCGGAGGAAGGUGGGGAUGACGUCAAGUCAUCAUGGCCCUUACGGCCUGGGCUACACACGUGCUACAAUGGUCGGUACAGAGGGUUGCCAAGCCGCGAGGUGGAGCUAAUCCCACAAAACCGAUCGUAGUCCGGAUCGCAGUCUGCAACUCGACUGCGUGAAGUCGGAAUCGCUAGUAAUCGCGAAUCAGAAUGUCGCGGUGAAUACGUUCCCGGGCCUUGCACUCACCGCCCGUCAAG
rnacentral:rRNA from 1 species